rnacentral:rRNA from 1 species
UCCACGCCGUAAACGAUGAUCACUCGCUGUUCGCCCUUUUGGGUGAGUGGCCAAGCUAAAGCAUUAAGUGAUCCACCUGGGGAGUACGUCGGCAACGAUGAAACUCAAAGGAAUUGACGGGGGCCCGCACAAGCGGUGGAACAUGUGGUUUAAUUCGAUGAUACGCGAGGAACCUUACCUGGAUUUAAAUGUAGGACGAAAGUCACGUGAAAGCGAGACCCUUCCUUCGGGAC